UCAAAAACUUUGUUUCCUUUGUGAUCCACCACCUGAAUUCUUGCAUUUCCUCUAAUCACAUACAGGGCACUAUGUGCAUUGAUAUUCCAGUGUGGUGCAAAAAUGGCAUUCUGCAAUUACCAAACAACAAACUCAAUCACUCAUUUCACGUAACAAAAUUUAUGUAUUAAUGCUAUUGUGUUUGCUUACGCUGUAGAGGAAUCCUCUUUCUGCACUAAGUUGGAGGCUGCUGAGGAUAGGAAUCUUUUGGCUAUUAACAGUGGUAAUGCGGCCAGCACGAGGAUUGAAUACAUCAGCCUCUUGGGGGAGGCCAAUGUUUUCACUAAGCUUCACCGUGCACAAAGUUUCCUCAAGUCCAUUGGAUCUCCAUCCUCUUCCAACACCCUGUUGUUGCUGCUCCUGCUGUUGUUGGGGUUGUUGCUCUUGCUCACUAUAUUCAGGCAGGAACAGUUGAAGUUUUUCAGCUCGGACUGUGCUACCCCUUUUAUCUUUCGGACCCUUCAAUUUCUGUAUUAUUUUGAGGUCAACAUUGAAAGCAUCAGCCAAAAGUUGGUCAUCAAAUCCUGAGAAGAUGUUUCUAUGCUGCUGCUGCUGGCCUUGAUGGCCUUCCUUUCCACCACCCUGUUGCGGGUUUCCGGCUAGGAAAAAUUUCUGAAAGUAAAAAAAAAUUUUUUUUAUUAAGAUGGUACCGCAAUAAAAUAUGCCCAGAAAGAGAUUAUUUUUUGAUUAAUACUUGGCAAGUUUGGAAUGAUAGUUUUCUUACCCUGGACUGCAAAUCAAGCUGAUUAGCCUCAUUGGCAACAUCAAGAAGUGCGACAGUGACAAGCGGAACAUCUCCAUCAUUAUAUGUCCACUGAGUGAAACCAGGAAGCAAUAUAAGGACAUCUCCUUUUUGGAACCUUCUGAGCUUCUGAUGGCGGUCUGGAAACCUUUGCCUUUGCCCUUCCU
rnacentral:lncRNA from 1 species